CUUUAAUAUAGAUAAUGUAUUGUAUUCCUCAUCGAACCCCUAGAAGAGUCUAGAAACUGUAUCACGAUCACUAAUACUGGGGAUGAAGAGAAGACCCUAGCUGGACAUAUUCUCAAGUGCCAGAGUGCUGGAGUAGAAUCCACAUUCAAGUUUACCACGAACCACAAGGUUGCUCCAGGAGGAGCUAUCACGGUCUGGAGCUCAGAUAGCGGGGUAGACCAUGAUGUUGGAUCUGGGCAGCUGGUGAUGAAGUCUGGAGCCUGGAAGAUUGGAGUGGAUGAGGUGAAUAAUGUGUAAGUGAACAAGGAGGGUGAGGAGAUUGCUGCUAGUGAAACUACCUGGGAGAAACAAGUUUCAGGAUCCAGGCUGCAGUUCUCUGGGGA